CCUACGGGAGGCAGCAGUGGGGAAUCUUCCGCAAUGGGCGAAAGCCUGACGGAGCAACGCCGCGUGAGCGAAUGAAGGCUUUCGGGUUGUAAACAUCUGUUGACAGGGACGAAUAAGCAAUGCGAAUAGUUUUGUGUAUGACGGUACCUGUCUAGAGAGCUCCGGCUAACUACGUGCCCGCAGCCGCGGUUAUACGUAGGGAGCAGGCGUUGUCCGGAAUUACUGGGCGUAAAGGCCGCGUAGGUGGGCGCUUAAGUCAGGGGUGAAAACCCCGGGCUCAACCUGGGGACUGCCCUUGAAACGGGGUGUCUUGAGGGCAGGAGAGGAAAGUGGAAUUCCUAGUGUAGCGGUGAAAGGCGUAGAUAUUAGGAGGAACACCAGUGGCGAAGGCGACUUUCUGGACUGUACCUGACGCUGAGGCGCGAAAGCGUGGGUAGCGAACGGGAUUAGAUACCCGGGUAGUC
rnacentral:rRNA from 1 species